rnacentral:rRNA from 1 species
AUUGAACGCUGGCGGAAUGCUUUACACAUGCAAGUCGAGCGGCAGCGCGGGGCAACCUGGCGGCGAGCGGCGAACGGGUGAGUAAUACAUCGGAACGUACCCAGUUGUGGGGGAUAGCCCGGCGAAAGCCGGAUUGAUACCGCAUACGACCUGAGGGCGAAAGUGGGGGAUCGCAAGACCUCACGCAGUUGGAGCGGGCGAGGGCGGAUGAGCUAGUUGGUAGGGUAAAGGCCUACCAAGGCGACGAUCCGUAGCGGGUCUGAGAGGACGACCCGCCACACUGGAACUGAGACACGGUCCAGACUCCUACGGGAGGCAGCAGUGGGGAAUUUUGGACAAUGGGGGCAACCCUGAUCCAGCCAUUCCGCGUGAGUGAAGAAGGCCUUCGGGUUGUAAAGCUCUUUCGGCAGGAACGAAACGGUCUGUGCUAAUACCAUGGGCUAAUGACGGUACCUGAAGAAGAAGCACCGGCUAACUACGUGCCAGCCGCCGCAGUAA